GAUAAGACUCCUGAAGGUGCUCAGAUCGACCUUCCUCGUCCUGAUCCUUCUGGACUGUGUGGUGGAUAUGUAUCUACAAUUGAUGUCAUCGUCUGUAGUCACCGACGUACGGUCUCAGAGACAAUGCUGAACUGCAUCCAGGCUGUUUUAUCCCGCUCUGUCUAAGGAGAAGUACUGUACGUCGAAGCCAUGUGCUUACCGAGCACUAAGUCAGUCACUGCAGGAAAGAAAUGGCAUGCGUCGUUUUGCAGUUAUUAAAACACCGAUAUGUCAAGAGGUCACUGUGCGUGGUGAAACAGCAACAACAAUUCGAGGAACGUUCCAUCACGAAUGCAUUGUUGCAUUGUUGCAUUGCACAAGAUGUGACGCACCAUCUACAGCGAAAGGAUACCUAUUUAGUUCCUCAGAUCUUCAGCAGUUCAGAUGCAGCAGUAAGUAUAUGGAUUGCCACAGUGAUAAAACUUGCAAUGAUAUGUGCAUAAUAUUUGAUCUUUCAUAUCAGAAUGAUGGUUUGAAAGUAAAAUAGGUAGUAAUAAUAAAACACAAAGAAGCAGAUGAGUGUCAUGCAUUUUAAAAGAUAUGUACGUUCUAUUAGUACUCGCCUUCCAGAAAUGUUCUAUGAUGGCAUUUUCAUCAGUCGUAUUGAAACUUCUUUAUUUAAAGUUUUUUUUCUUAUAGGAACUGAAAUAACUAAGGUGGUCAACCUUCUACAAAUUAUUUUAC